rnacentral:rRNA from 1 species
AGCAGCAGCCGCGGUAAUACGUAGGUGGCAAGCGUUGUCCGGAAUUAUUGGGCGUAAAGCGCGCGCAGGCGGCCUAUCCAAUCUGUCUUAAAAGUUCGGGGCUCAACCCCGUGAUGGGAUGGAAACUAGUAGGCUAGAGUAUCGGAGAGGAAAGCGGAAUUCCUGUGUAGCGGUGAAAUGCGUAGAUAUUAGGAAGAACACCAGUGGCGAAGGCGGCUUUCUGGACGAAAACUGACGCUGAGGCGCGAAAGCUAGGGGAGCGAACGGGAUUAGAUACCCCCGUAGUCCCUGUCUCUUAUACAC